rnacentral:rRNA from 1 species
UUUAGAAUUAAAUUUAAUAUAACUCUGGGUAAGUAGUAGAUAAAUACUUAAAAAUUAAAAAAUUUGGCGGUGAUUUAAUCUUUUUAGAGGAACUUGUUUUUUAAUCGAUAAACCACGUUUAAUCUUACUUGUUUUAGUAAAUCAGUAUGUAUACCAUCAUUAACAGGUAAUUUUAAAAGGAAAAAUUACUAAAAAUAAUUGAUUAUAUAAAUUAGAUCAUGGUGCAGCUUAUAAACAAGGUAAAAUGAGUUACAAUAAAGUAUUUUAGAUGAAUUAACGAGGGAAUCUUCGUUAUAAAGGUGGAUUUAAUUGUAAAUGUGGAUUAAUAAGCUUAUUUGAUAUUGGUGCUAAAUCAUGUACAUAUCGCCCGUCGCUUUCGCUAACCGAAAUAAGUCGUAACA